UUGGGAAUAUUGCACAAUGGGCGAAAGCCUGAUGCAGCGACGCCGCGUGAUCGAUGAAGCCUUUCGGGGUGUAAAGAUCUUUUAUCUAGGAAGAUUAUGACUGUACUAGAUGAAUAAGGACUUGCUAACUAUGUGCCAGCAGCAGCGGUAAUACAUAGAGUCCAAGCGUUAUCCGGAAUUAUUGGGCGUAAAGAGUUCGUAGGCGGAUAAACAAGUUAGAUUUAAAAUCUCCAGGCUCAACUUGGAGUUUGGAUCUAAAACUGUUUAUCUAGAGUUUGGUAGGGGCAAGUGGAACUUUCAGUGUAGCAGUGAAAUGCGUUGAUAUUGAAAGGAACACCAAUGGCGAAGGCAGCUUGCUAGGCCAUUACUGACGCUGAGGAACGAAAGCGUGGGUAGCGAAAGGG
rnacentral:rRNA from 1 species